rnacentral:sRNA from 1 species
UCUUAUGUUUUGCUUC